rnacentral:rRNA from 1 species
AUUGAACGCUAGCGGGAUGCUUUACACAUGCAAGUCGAACGAGUGGCGGACGGGUGAGUAAUAUAUCGGAACGUGCCCAGUAGCGGGGGAUAACUACUGGAAAGAGUGGCUAAUACCGCAUACCAUCGGAGCGGCCGAUAUCGGAUUAGCUAGUUGGUGGGGUAAAGGCUCACCAAGGCAACGAUCCGUAGCUGGUCUGAGAGGACGACCAGCCACGCUGGGACUGAGACACGGCCCAGAAUCCUACGGGAGGCAGCAGUGGGGAAUUUUGGACAAUGGGGGAAACCCUGAUCCAGCCAUGCCGCGUGUAUGAGAAGGCCUUCGGGUUGUAAAGUACUUUUGGCAGAGAAGCGGUAUCUGCAGAAUAAGCACCGGCUAACUACGUGCCAGCAGCCGCGGUAAUAC